rnacentral:rRNA from 1 species
UGCGUAGGUGGUCUGUUAAGUCGGAUGUGAAAUCCCCGGGCUCAACCUGGGAAUGGCAUCCGAUACUGGCGGACUUGGAGUCUUGGAGAGGGUGGUGGAAUUCCUGGUGUAGCGGUGAAAUGCGUAGAGAUCAGGAGGAACACUAGUGGCGAAGGCGGCCACCUGGCCAAAGACUGACGCUGAGGCACGAAAGCGUGGGAGCAAACA